CAGCCCUAAACGAUGCGCGUUAGGUGUAUCGGUGACCACGAGUCACCGAGGUGCCGAAGGGAAACCGUGAAACGUGCCGCCUGGGAAGUACGGUCGCAAGGCUGAAACUUAAAGGAUUGGCGGGGGAGCACCACAACGGGUGGAGCCUGCGGUUUAAUUGGACUCAACGCCGGGAAGCUCACCGGAUAAGACAGCGGAAUGAUUGCCGGGCUGAAGACCCUGCAUGACCAGCUGAGAGGAGGUGCAUGGCGUAGUCCGUGU
rnacentral:rRNA from 1 species